CAGGAGACUUGUAAACGAACAUUCCGGAACAUUCCGUGAGUGUUGUGGAGAAUAAUUCGCAGUCGGCGUGGGCACUCCUAGGUGAGGCAAGCCUUCCAGAAGGGUGAGCAAACAGGCCACAGAUCAUUCUGGAAGAGAAUCCGGCUCAUCCCAGGACGUUGGGUUUCAGCUGGCUAUCCCGCCCACAGGAUGCUGGCGCUGUUGAGGGACCCGUGCCAGUGCCCCAAGGUGGGGCGGGCAGGCUCCAAGCACAACUUGCUGCCAGGAGAACCACCAGUUGGCAAGGAUGCUGUUCUCGUGCGGUUGAGCAGAUGUGUUCCUGGGGGAAUGUGCUGGAACAGACAACGUCACCCGAAAGUCAGUGCGCCACCCCCAGACAAACCACAGCCUGACCAGCCUUGCAGUGCCCUGGCGGGCGGCCACCGCUCUGAGGGACCUGAGAGUGCAAAUGCCACCCAGCUCCCUCCAGAAGUCUCACUGUGCCCUAGAACUCUGGGGCCCGUCAAC
rnacentral:lncRNA from 1 species